UGAAAUUAUCAGUAACAAGUAGUUGAGUGACAAGAUGAUUCGUAGCAAGUAGCAAGUAACAAUAGUAACAACGGUGCAGCAAAGUGGGCCAAUCCCUUUUGUAGCAAGGGACAAGCCUGGACAAACUCUUAUAGGAGUUAAAGCGCUCCCGAGGACACAUGGGAAAUUAUGUCAAGCUAGUUUUCAUCAUGUGCAUAUGAUUCGCGUUCGCUACUUUGAUAGUUUGAUAUGUGGGUGGACCGGUGCUUGGGUACUACCCUUAAUUGGACAAGCAUCCCACUUAUGAU
rnacentral:lncRNA from 1 species